GUAGGGAAUAUUGGACAAUGGGCGAAAGCCUGAUCCAGCCAUGCCGCGUGAUAGAUGAAGGCCCUCUGGGUUGUAAAUAUCUUUUAUCUGGGAAGAAACUCCUCUAUUCUUAGAGGCCUGACGGUACCAGAGGAAUAAGCACCGGCUAACUCCGUGCCAGCAGCCGCGGUAAUACGGAGGGUGCAAGCGUUAUCCGGAUUCACUGGGUUUAAAGGGUGCGUAGGCGGGUUGAUAAGUCAGUGGUGAAAGCUCCGAGCUUAACUUGGAAACUGCCAUUGAUACUGUCAGUCUUGAAUGUCGUAGAGGUAAGCGGAAUGUUGCAUGUGGCGGUGAAAUGCUUAGAUAUGUUACAGAACACCAAUUGCGAAGGCAGCUUACUAUGCGAUAAUUGACGCUGAGGCACGAAAGCGUGGGGAGCAAACAGGAUUAGAAACCCGUGUAGUCC
rnacentral:rRNA from 1 species